rnacentral:rRNA from 1 species
GACGAACGCUGGCGGCGUGCUUAACACAUGCAAGUCGAACGGAAAGGCCCUGCUUUUGUGGGGUGCUCGAGUGGCGAACGGGUGAGUAACACGUGAGUAACCUGCCCUUGACUUUGGGAUAACUUCAGGAAACUGGGGCUAAUACCGGAUAGGAGCUCCUGCUGCAUGGUGGUGGUUGGAAAGUUUCGGCGGUUGGGGAUGGACUCGCGGCUUAUCAGCUUGUUGGUGGGGUAGUGGCCUACCAAGGCUUUGACGGGUAGCCGGCCUGAGAGGGUGACCGGCCACAUUGGGACUGAGAUACGGCCCAGACUCCUACGGGAGGCAGCAGUGGGGAAUAUUGCACAAUGGGCGGAAGCCUGAUGCAGCAACGCCGCGUGCGGGAUGACGGCCUUCGGGUUGUAAACCGCUUUCGCCUGUGACGAAGCGUGAGUGACGGUAAUGGGUAAAGAAGCACCGGCUAACUACGUG